rnacentral:rRNA from 1 species
AACGAACGCUGGCGGCGUGGAUAAGACAUGCAAGUCGAACGAGGUUAAAUGAGUUGGGUAACCAAUUUAUUUGCUUAGUGGCGAACGGGUGCGUAACACGUGGGAAUCUACCCUGAUGUGGGGGAUAGCUCACCGAAAGGUGAAUUAAUACCGCAUGAUAAGGUAACUUUAAAGCUGGGGAUCUUCGGACCUGGCGCAUUAGGAUGAGCCCGCGGCCUAUCAGCUUGUUGGUGAGGUAAAGGCUCACCAAGGCAACGACGGGUAGCUGGUCUGAGAGGACGAUCAGCCACACUGGAACUGAGACACGGUCCAGACACCUACGGGUGGCAGCAGUCGAGAAUCAUUCGCAAUGGGGGAAACCCUGACGGUGCGACGCCGCGUGGAGGAUGAAGGCCUUAGGGUCGUAAACUCCUGUCACCAUAGAACAAGAUUCAUAGGUUAAUACCCUUGUGGAUUUGAUGGUAUAUGGAGAGGAAGGUCCGGCUAACUCUGUGCCAGCCGCCGCCGUAACAC